GACGAACGCUGGCGGCGUGCUUAACACAUGCAAGUCGAACGGAAAGGCCCUGCUUUUGUGGGGUGCUCGAGUGGCGAACGGGUGAGUAACACGUGAGUAACCUGCCCUUGACUUUGGGAUAACUUCAGGAAACUGGGGCUAAUACCGGAUAGGAGCUCCUGCUGCAUGGUGGGGGUUGGAAAGUUUCGGCGGUUGGGGAUGGACUCGCGGCUUAUCAGCUUGUUGGUGGGGUAGUGGCUUACCAAGGCUUUGACGGGUAGCCGGCCUGAGAGGGUGACCGGCCACAUGGGGACUGAGAUACGGCCCAGACUCCUACGGGAGGCAGCAGUGGGGAAUAUGGCACAAUGGGCGGAAGCCUGAUGCAGCAACGCCGCGUGCGGGAUGACGGCCUUCGGGUGGUAAACCGCUUUCGCCUGUGACGAAGCGUGAGUGACGGUAAUGGGUAAAGAAGCACCGGCUAACUACGU
rnacentral:rRNA from 1 species